GACGAACGCUGGCGGCGUGCUUAACACAUGCAAGUCGAACGGUGAAGCGCCUUCCUUUUUGGUGGGUGUGGAUGAGUGGCGAACGGGUGAGUAACACGUGAGUAACCUGCCCCCUUCUUCUGGAUAACCGCAUGAAAGUGUGGCUAAUACGGGAUAUUCUGGGUCUGUCGCAUGAUGGGUCUGGGAAAGAUAUUGUUUCGGUGGGGGAUGGGCUCGCGGCCUAUCAGCUUGUUGGUGGGGUGAUGGCCUACCGAGGCGGUGACGGGUAGCCGGCCUGAGAGGGUGGACGGUCACACUGGGACUGAGACACGGCCCAGACUCCUACGGGAGGCAGCAGUGGGGAAUAUUGCACAAUGGGCGCAAGCCUGACGCAGCGACGCCGCGUGAGGGAUGGAGGCCUUCGGGUUGUGAACCUCUUUCGCCAGUGAAGCAGGCCUGCCUCGUUUGUGGGUGGGUUGACGGUAGCUGGAUAAGAAGCGCCGGCUAACUACGUG
rnacentral:rRNA from 1 species